rnacentral:rRNA from 1 species
CACGAGGCGGACGGAACGGGUGAAGUAACACGUGAGUCGACCUCGCCCCCUGACCGUCCGGGAAUAAGGCGGGUAGGAAACCGCUGUCUAACGUACCGGAUAUGACCUUCCGUCGCAUGGGCGGGGGUGGAAAGCCUUGUGCGGUUGGGGAUGGGCUCGCGGCCUAUCAGCUUGUUGGUGGGGUAACGGCCUACCAAGGCGAUUACGGGUAGCCGGCCUGAGAGGGCGACCGGCCACACUGGGACUGAGACACGGCCCAGACUCCUGCGGGAGGCAGCAGGUGGGGAAUCUUGCGCAAUGGGCGAAAGCCUGACGCAGCGACGCCGCGUGGGGGAUGACGGCCUUCGGGUUGUAAACCUCUUUUACCACUAACGCAGGCUCGGGAUGUUCUCCGGGUUGACGGUAGGUGGGGAAUAAGGACCGGCUAACUACGUGCCAGCCGCCGC